rnacentral:rRNA from 2 species
GAACGCUGGCGGCGCGCCUAACACAUGCAAGUCGAGCGAUGAAAGUUGUUCAGAUCCUUCGGGUGACGAACUUCUGGAUUAGCGGCGAACGGGUGAGUAACGCGUGAGGAACCUGCCUCUCACAACGGGAUAGCCUCGGGAAACCAGGAUUAAUACCGUAUGACACUAUCAGAUGGCAUCAUCAGAUAGUUAAAGUGCUAGCGGUGAGAGAUGGCCUCGCGUCUGAUUAGUUAGUUGGUGGGGUAACGGCCUACCAAGACGACGAUCAGUAACCGGCCUGAGAGGGUGAACGGUCACAUUGGAACUGAGACACGGUCCAAACUCCUACGGGAGGCAGCAGUGGGGAAUCUUGCACAAUGGGGGGAACCCUGAUGCAGCGACGCCGCGUGAGCGAUGAAGGUUUUCGAAUCGUAAAGCUCUGUCCUAUGGGAAGAUAAUGACGGUACCAUAGGAGGAAGCCCCGGCUAACUACGUGCCAGCCGCCGCGGUAA